rnacentral:lncRNA from 1 species
AUUUGAGUUAAUUAAUUAAAUUUUAAUUUAUAAUUUAAUUAGUCCCAAUAAAAUUAUAAUAUUUAUGAUUAAGUUUCUGCGCUAACAAUUAGCAGCUGCCAAAACUGUAAUAAUUAUAAAUUAGUAGUUUCUAAAAUUCAAACUAUCAAUCUGAUUGAUAAUUUGAAUAUGAUCCAAGUCAUUAAUCAGGUCAUGCUCCUUUUGUAUGUGACCCCUC